rnacentral:rRNA from 1 species
GACGAACGCUGGCGGCGUGCUUAACACAUGCAAGUCGAACGGAAAGGCCCUGCUUUUGUGGGGUGCUCGAGUGGCGAACGGGUGAGUAACACGUGAGUAACCUGCCCUUGACUUUGGGAUAACUUCAGGAAACUGGGGCUAAUAUCGGAUAGGAUCUCCUGCUGCAUGGUGGGGGUUGGAUAGUCUCGGCGGUCGGGGAUGGACUCGCGGCUUACCAGCUUGUUGGUGGGGUAGUGGCUUACCAAGGCUUUGACGGGUAGCCGGCCUGAGAGGGUGACCGGGCACAAUAGGCCUGAGGUACGGCCCAGAGUGGUAGGGGGGACAGCAGUGGGAAAUAUUGCACAAUGGGAGGAAGCCUGAUGAAGAGGCGCCGCGUGCGGGAUGACGGCCUUCGGGUUAUAAACCGCUGUAGCCUGUGACGAAGCGUUAGUGACGGUAAUGGAUAAAGAAGCACCGGCUAACUACGUG